GACGAACGCUGGCGGCGUGCUUAACACAUGCAAGUCGAACGGACAGGCCCUGCUUUUGUGGGGUGCUCGAGUGGCGAACGGGUGAGUAACACGUGAGUAACCUGCCCUUGACUUUGGGAUAACUUCAGGAAACUGGGGCUAAUACCGGAUAGGAGCUCCUGCUGCAUGGUGGGGGUUGGAAAGUUUCGGCGGUUGGGGAUGGACUCGCGGCUUAUCAGCUUGUUGGUGGGGUAGUGGCUUACCAAGGCUUUGACGGGUAGCCGGCCUGAGAGGGUGGCCGGCCACAUUGGGACUGAGAUACGGCCCAGACUCCUACGGGAGGCAGCAGUGGGGAAUAUUGCACAGUGGGCGGAAGCCUGAUGCAGCAACGCCGCGUGCGGGAUGACGGCCUUCGGGUUGUAAACCGCUUUCGCCUGUGACGAAGCGUGAGUGACGGUAAUGGGUAAAGAAGCACCGGCUAACUACGUG
rnacentral:rRNA from 1 species